UCGAGAAUCUUCGGCAAUGAGCGCAAGCUUGACCGAGCGACGCCGCGUGCGGGAUGAAGGCCUUCGGGUUGUAAACCGCUUUGGUCCGAGAGAAAGGGUAAAACUUGAUCGAUCGGAGAAACAAGGACGGGCUAAGUUCGUGCCAGCAGCCGCGGUAAGACGAACCGUCCAAACGUUAUUCGGAAUCACUGGGCUUAAAGGGCGCGUAGGCGGCCGAGCGGGUCGCGGGUGAAAUCCUCCAGCUUAACUGGAGAACUGCCCUCGAUACCACUGCGGCUCGAGGAAGGAAGGGGCAAUCGGAACUGUCGGUGGAGCGGUGAAAUGCGUUGAUAUCGACAGGAACGCCGGUGGCGAAAGCGGAUUGCUGGUCCUUUUCUGACGCUGAUGCGCGAAAGCCAGGGGAGCAAACGGGAUUAGAUACCCGCGUAGUCC
rnacentral:rRNA from 1 species